UAUUUUAAUGUUUAUUAUUUAUUUAUUUAUUGAGAGACCAAGCAUGUGAGCGGGGGAGGGGCAGAGAGAGGGAGACAGAAACUAAAGCAGGCUCCAGGCUCUGAAUUGUCAGCACAGAGCCCGACACAGGGCUCGAACCCGUGAACUGUAAGCUCAUGACUUGAGCUGGAGCCGGACGAUUAACCGGCUGAGCCACCCUGGUGCCCCUAUCGGAGUGUUUCCAUAACUGCCUUCCAUAUAGGCCUGUGUGCCAGGACUUACCUUAAGCUCCCAGUGUUAGCUAGAGUGUCCACAGUGUCACCAGAGGGACACGGGUGUCCUGUGCUGAGUUGGUCUCAUCUGGCAGAGGCUGGCUUUCUAGUUUAGUGGCUGAGCGUGGUCUUCAGAGGACUUGCUCAUUGUCUCACUUCCCCGAAGUCUGAAUCCCAGAACCCUUCUUUUCUUUUCCCUUCUUUUUCUCCAGGCUCUCCAUUUGAGCCAGGGAGAGUCCCAGCUCACACCACCCUUCACCAAAGGCUACUUUGUGGCCCAGCUGUUGGCCACUGGAACAUUGUCUUCCCAAGCCUGGGAUUGUGAAACCACCCAGCCUUCCUUCCUCUUUGCUGCUAGCUCCCCCCCACUCCUUUGUUACCUUCCAGCCAGUGUCAAGAGGGGACUGAACCCAGGCUAAAUGUGGAGCCAAAAUUUUCCUAUGAUUCAUUUUCUCAGUUGCUCUUUUCUUUUAAGUCUUUCUCCUGCUGAGAGAAAAACUGGAAAUUUGAACCUUAGAAAAAAGGAGCUGAAAAGUCUUGAUUAAGUGCCUGUUGUGUAAUCAUCCCUCUACUGGCACAGAGGGGAUGGUGGGUCUGGCCUGGACUCAGCUGCAGCUGCGGGCCACCAGGAACAGUGCUUAGGUUUAUAAUAUGGGGGGGGGGGGUCCUUGGGUGGGGAAGGAAAGGUUUGGGCACAGAGAGGCAUGUUUGGGAGGCUCAGGGUGGCCUCCUGCCAGAAGUUCCUACAGGAGCCUGAAGCAGGGCCCCUGGCUGUGUCAUGCACCUGGGAGACUCUAGGGACACAACUAAGAGAAAACAGCAGGGACAGGGUUCUGGAAAUGCAGUGUGGCACAUCAAAGAUUUCCUUAAAAAAAAUUAUAUUUUUGUUUUUUUUAAUUAAAAAAAAAAUACUUAUUUUUGACAGAGAUACAGAGCAUGAGUGGGGAGGGGCAGAGAGAGAGGGAGACACAGAAUCGGAAGCAGGCUCCAGGCUCCGAGCUGUCAGCACAGAGCCUGACGUGGGGCUCGAACUCACAGACUGAGAGAUCAUGACCUGAGCCGAAGGCAGACACUCAACCGCCUGAGCCACCCAGGGGCCCCUAUUUUUUUUAAUUAAAAAUUUUUAUUGUUUAUUUUUGCUAAUGGGGGAGGGGCAGAGAUAGACAAAAUCCCAACCAGGCUCCAGGCUCUGUUCUGUCAGCACAGAGCCGGACUUGGGGUUCGAACCCACAAACCAUGAGAUCAUGACCUGAGCUGAAAUCGGAUGCUUAAACGACUGAGCCACCCAGGUGCCCCUUUUGACGGUUACUUUUGAGAGAGAGAGAGCAGAAGCAGGGGAGGGGUGGAGAGAGGGAGACCCAGAAUCCAAAGCAGGCUCCAGACCCAGAGCUGUCAGUGCAGAUCCCAGUGCGGGGCUCACCGUGGGGCUCCACCUCCUGGACCUGGAAGUCAUGACCUGAGCUGAAGUCAAACGCUUAACCGACUGACCCAUCCAGGCACCCCUAAAGGUUUCCUAACUUAAAGUUUGCUGUACCACACUGGGUAAGGGGUAUCCUUGCUUUGCAGACUGGCUGUCUUGCCUAGAGGUGAAGUCAUUUAUUCAUUCAUUCCUUCAGCAACCAUACCCCGGGGAAUUUGCGUUUGCCUGGCGGCCACCGCCAGACAAAGCUUCUGGAAUACGGAGCUGAGAGAUCCAGUGGUUUUCUGAAAAACUCGUUCUGUUCACACAGGCCUGUAUCCGACAGCUCUGCCUACUUUAUCCCCGGCAGCUGUCAGAAAAUAAUUUACACAGCCGGUUUACAAAUGAAAACCGUGCUAUUCGUUGUCCAGAAUGAACGGGAACAAUUCCAGCUGUCAGAUAAUCCCCACAUCCCUAGUUCAAAUCUCUGUUGCGAAUGUUCCUCAAAUUAAGGGCGAAUGUAAUAAAUAUUACUGGCGUGGUGCAGUUUAGCAAGCGCUUUCACGUAUGUAUUCCGACCCGACUUGUGCCUCUCAGCCUGUAAAGCCGUGGCUUGGUCCGGACAGGCGGGCUGACUGCUCUCCAGGAGGCUCGCCCCCGCUCGCCCCCACCCCCCCCCCCCCCCCCCCCCCCACGACGCGCCCCUCCCCCACUACGACGCGCCCCUCCCCCUGCCGUGCCUUCCUGGCUCCUCCCCCCCGGCCUUUGCCUUGUUCUGUUCUCCGGGGUCGGCGCCACGGCGGGCGCGCGCUGCCCGCGCGCCGCCCUUCCCGGAGCCGGAGCGGGCCGCCUCCCCUGCAGGAUGCAUUUUUCCUGCCGUCAGGGAGGUAAUGAAGUGUUGUGAUGUAAAAGUCACCUCUGGGGGAUAGUCACCAUUAGUAAUCUCUGUGCCCAGCUUGAGGCUCGAACUCAUGACCCUGAGAUCAAGAGCUGAAUGCUGUACCAACUUAGCCAGCCAAGUGCCCAGAACAGGACACAGAGUAGGAGAGAGAAGUCUGAGGGCAGUGCAUGAGACCGGCUCACUUCUUCCUCGCCGAGGGAUUGUGACCUAAUGCAACCAUGUGGGUGCUGGGCACGGAGUUGAGCAUAAAGGGAAGGAAGGCUCCUCUACGUUGCCUUCUCCUGCAAGCAAGCCCUGAACCCAACUUGGGACCUGAUGGAUACGAUGCUCCAGUCCAGCACUCACUGAAUACACCAUCAUAUUCACAGACCACCAUGCAUCAGAAUAAUCUUGAGGGCCACUUGGGAAAACAGCAGGCUGUUGCUGUGGACGCUGGAAAGAGCUGAGCUGUCGGUUUGCAGCCUAACUGGGCUUCCACUGGUCUUUCUGCAAAAUUUCAAGCACCAAUUCGACCGCUUUCUUAUCAACACUGCUGCUCUUGUGGGAACAUGUCUUCCUGGUUCAGCCAAGAAUUCUGCUGUCUGGGAUUGUUCAGGACAAAACCACAGUGCCCGUGGGGGGUGGUGUGUCUGUGUAAACUUGAACAUCAGAUUGCACUGGUAGGGCAGGUCCUUUGUUGGCCAGGCUUGACACCUUGUAUUCUUUCUUUCUCAGGCUGUGAAUAGAACAUGAUUUGGCAUCGGCCAAAUCCAUCUGCACAGAGUGAAAAGGAAGGCGCUAGGUGCAGGAGAGGGAGCCGGCAAAAGAGGAGGGAGUGGCUAAAUGAAUGAAAGCCUGAUGAGACCAUUGUGAAGAUUAAAAAGGCCUAUUUGUUAAACUGUGACCCCUUUAAAGGACAGUACAGGUUUUACCAAAGCAAGAACCCAGCCGGGCUAUGGCUAAUUGCUGCCAUGUUUCUGAACGGUCUGCCUUUGGCUGAGUUGCAUCUUGUUUCUCUCUUUGAAAACUCCCUUCCCCCGUGGCUGGUCAGUUUCCACCAUGCUGUACCUCUGGAUCAUGCUUGAGCUCUGACGUUGUACUGCUCCGUCUCUCUUGGUGGGGGAGCACGAAGGGACCCUCUUCCCUGAACAUCUAUUUCUCUUCCUCAGCCCUGUCUCCUUCAGAUCCCUGCACACACGUUGUCACUUGUCCAUGAUGAAUAUUUAGUGAAGGGUCUUCUGGAUUCUUGUUCUUCACCCCCUACUGGCGGGGAAUGAGGCCUCUUUCUUCCUUCCUACCUACUUCGAUGCAAAGCAUUCAAUGAACUCCUUCAAAGGAAUCUGAGGAGUCACUUUGUCCUCGUGGGAGCACAUGCCCCCUUCUGGCCUUUGCUCCUUUCGCUGCCUGGCCCAGCUUACCUUGCGUAUUGACAUCAAUCCCUGCAUCUGACACAGCCCCCAUCCUCUGGAGUAUCGGCUUCAUCCGGACUUUUUCGGUGUGAGGACCAGCCAGCACUGUCCCCAAGCCUCCCGUGCAGGUGAGUAUGUUAUUUUUUCUUUUUAAGUUUAUUUUUAAAAUUUACUUUGAGAAAGAGAGACAGAAAGAGAGACAGGCAGAGAGGAGGAGAGACAGAAUUCCAAGCUGGCUCUGUGCUGCCAGCGCAGAGCCCGACGUGGGGCUAGAGCUCACAAACUAUGAGAUCAUGACCUGAGCUGAGCUGAAGAGUCAAC